CCUACGGGGGGCAGCAGUGGGGAAUAUUGGACAAUGGGGGCAACCCUGAUCCAGCCAUGCCGCGUGUGUGAAGAAGGCCCUCGGGUUGUAAAGCACUUUCAGUGAGGAAGAACGCCUGGUGGUUAAUACCCAUCAGGAAAGACAUCACUCACAGAAGAAGCACCGGCUAACUCCGUGCCAGCAGCCGCGGUAAUACGGAGGGUGCGAGCGUUAAUCGGAAUUACUGGGCGUAAAGCGCGCGUAGGUGGCUUGAUAAGCCGGUUGUGAAAGCCCCGGGCUCAACCUGGGAACGGCAUCCGGAACUGUCAAGCUAGAGUGCAGGAGAGGAAGGUAGAAUUCCCGGUGUAGCGGUGAAAUGCGUAGAGAUCUGGAGGAAUACCAGUGGCGAAGGCGGCCUUCUGGACUGACACUGACACUGAGGUGCGAAAGCGUGGGUAGCGAACAGGAUUAGAUACCCCAGUAGUC
rnacentral:rRNA from 1 species